rnacentral:misc_RNA from 1 species
GAGUAUUAAAAAAUAAUUAAAAAUAAAAUUUAAUCAGUUUUAAUCAUAAGAAUGCUAAAAUAACAAAAUAAUUUUUAUUUUCUUAACAGCAUUUAAAAUGAUACUUUUAUUUAGAAAAGUAGUUUCUGACUAUAAAAUUCAAUGUCAAACAGGGCUUUACUUGCUUUCUCUCUCCAUAUAUCAACCCUUUAUUUUUAAGCUUGAUAUAUAUUGAAUCAAAUUGUAUUGAGAUUAUUCUUAUUAAAGUUUCUUGUCAAUUUUUCCCUCUAGGU